UCCGGUUGAUCCUGCCGGACCCCACUGCUAUCGGGGUGGGACUAAGACAUGCAAGACGUGCGCCUCCAAGCCACGGUGGAGGCGCGGCGCACAGCUCAGUAACACGUGGCUAACCUACCCUUGGGACAGGGACAACCCCGGGAAACUGGGGCUAAUCCCCGAUAGGUGAGGACUCCUGGAAUGGGUCCUCGCUGAAAGGGCGUCUAGACCAUGCUUCUAGACGCUGCCCAAGGAUGGGGCCGCGGCCGAUCAGGUUGUUGGUGAGGUAACGGCUCACCAAGCCUAAGACCGGUACGGGCCGUGAGAGCGGGAGCCCGGAGAUGGACACUGAGACAAGGGUCCAGGCCCUACGGGGCGCAGCAGUCGCGAAACCUCCGCAAUACGCGAAAGCGUGACGGGGCCACCCCGAGUGCCGUCCGCUGAGGACGGCUUUUCCCCAGUGUAGACAGCUGGGGGAAUAAGGGGAGGGCAAGUCGGGUGUCAGCCGCCGCGGUAAUACCCGCUCCCCGAGUGGUGGGGACGCUUAUUGGGCCUAAAGCAUCCGUAGCCGGCUGGACAAGUCCCCUGUUAAAUCCAGCGAUUUAAUCGCUGGACUGCGGGGGAUACUGCCCAGCUAGGGGGCGGGAGAGGCCGGCGGUAUUCCCGGGGUAGGGGUGAAAUCUUAUAAUCCCGGGAGGACCACCAGUGGCGAAGGCUGCCGGCUGGAACGCGCCCGACGGUGAGGGAUGAAAGCUGGGGGAGCGAACCGGAUUAGAUACCCGGGUAGUCCCAGCUGUAAACGAUGCGGGCUAGGUGUUGGCACGGCUACAAGCCGUGUCAGUGCCGCAGGGAAGCCGUUAAGCCCGCCGCCUGGGGAGUACGGCCGCAAGGCUGAAACUUAAAGGAAUUGGCGGGGGAGCACCACAAGGGUUUAUCCUUGCGGUUUAAUUGGAGUCAACGCCGGGA
rnacentral:rRNA from 1 species